rnacentral:rRNA from 1 species
CAGUCGCCGCGGUAAAACGGAGGGUGCAAGCGUUAUCCGGAUUUAUUGGGUUUAAAGGGUCCGUAGGCGGACUUAUAAGUCAGUGGUGAAAGCCUGUCGCUUAACGAUAGAACUGCCAUUGAUACUGUAAGUCUUGAGUAUAUUUGAGGUAGCUGGAAUAAGUAGUGUAGCGGUGAAAUGCAUAGAUAUUACUUAGAACACCAAUUGCGAAGGCAGGUUACCAAGAUAUAACUGACGCUGAGGGACGAAAGCGUGGGUAGCGAACAGGAUUAGAUACCCCUGUAGUCCCUGUCUCUUAUAC